CCUACGUGAGGCAGCAGUGAGGAAUAUUGGUCAAUGGGCUUACGCCUGAACCAGCCAAGUCGCGUGAGGGACGACUGCCCUAUGGGUUGUAAACCUCUUUUGUCAGGGAGCAACGCCGGCUACGUGUAGCCGGACUGAGAGUACCUGCAGAAGCAGCCCCGGCUAACUACGUGCCAGCAGCCGCGGUAAUACGUAGGGGGCAAGCGUUAUCCGGAUUUACGGGGUGUAAAGGGGGCGCAGACGGGGGUGCAAGCCAGGCGUGAAAGCCCGGGGCCCAACCCCGGGACUGCUCUUGGAACUGCGUGGCUGGAGUGCAGGAGGGGCAGGCGGAAUUCCUGGUGUAGCGGUGAAAUGCGUAGAUAUCAGGAGGAACACCGGUGGCGAAGGCGGCCUGCUGGACUGCAACUGACGUUGAGGCCCGAAAGCGUGGGGAGCAAACAGGAUUAGAUACCCCAGUAGUC
rnacentral:rRNA from 1 species